UACGUAGGCGGAAAAUUAAGUCAGUAGUGAAAUCCUGCAGCUUAACUGUAGAACUGUUAUUGAUACUGGUUUUCUUGAAUAUAGUUGAGGUAGGCGGAAUGUGUAAUAUAGCGGUGAAAUGCUUAGAUAUUACACAGAACACCGAUUGCGAAGGCAGCUUACUAAGCUAUGAUUGACGCUGAGGUACGAAAGCGUGGGGAGCGAACAGGAUUAGAUACCCUGGUAGUCC
rnacentral:rRNA from 1 species